AUUGAACGCUGGCGGCAAGCCUAACACAUGCAAGUCGAACGAGUGGCGGACGGGUGAGUAAUGUCUGGGAAACUGCCUGAUGGAGGGGGAUAACUACUGGAAACGGUAGCUAAUACCGCAUACCAUCGGAUGUGCCCAGAUGGGAUUAGCUAGUAGGUGGGGUAAAGGCUCGCCUAGGCGACGAGCCCUAGCUGGUCUGAGAGGAUGACCGGCCACGCUAGAACUGGGUAAGGGUCCGAGCGCCUACGCGUGGCAGCCGGUGGAAAUAUUCGCCAAAUGCCGUAACCCUGUUGCAGCCAUGCCGCGUGGAUUAAGAGGGCCUUCGGGUGGUAAAGUACUUUAGGCGGAGAGGCGUUCUCCGCCGAAGAAGCACCGGCUAACUCCGUGUCAGCAGCCGCGGUAAUAC
rnacentral:rRNA from 1 species